AGCGAACGCUGGCGGCAGGCCUAACACAUGCAAGUCGAACGAAGUCUUCGGACUUAGUGGCGGACGGGUGAGUAACACGUGGGAACGUGCCUUUAGGUUCGGAAUAACCCAGGGAAACUUGUGCUAAUACCGAAUGUGCCCUUCGGGGGAAAGAUUUAUCGCCUUUAGAGCGGCCCGCGUCUGAUUGGCUAGUUGGUGGGGUAAUGGCCCCCCAAGGCUACGAUCAGUAGCUGGUCUGAGAGGAUGACCAGCCACAUUGGGAAUUAGACAAGGCCAAAACUCCUACGGGAGGAAGCAGUGGGGAAUCUUGGGCAAUGGGCGAAAGCCUGACGCAGCCAUGCCGCGUGGAUGAUGAAGGUCUUAGGAUUGUAAAAUCCUUUCACCGGUGAAGAUAAUGACUGUAGCCGGAGAAGAAGCCCCGGCUAACUUCGUGCCAGCAGCCGCCGUAAUAC
rnacentral:rRNA from 1 species